GACGAACGCUGGCGGCGUGCUUAACACAUGCAAGUCGAACGGUAAGGCCCUUCGGGUACGACGAGUGGCGAACGGGUGAGUAACACGUGGGUGAUCUGCCCUGCACUUCGGGAUAGGCCUGGGAAACUGGGUCUAAUACCGGAUAGGACUCCUGGCUUCAUGGUUGGGGGUGUAAAGCUUUUGCGGUGUGGGAUGGGCCCGCGGCCUAUCAGCUUGUUGGUGGGGUAAUGGCCUACCAAGGCGACGACGGGUAGCCGGCCUGAGAGGGUGUCCGGCCACACUGGGACUGAGAUACGGCCCAGACUCCUACGGGAGGCAGCAGUGGGAAUAUUGCGCAAUGGCCGAAAGGCUGACGCAGCGACGCCGCGUGGGGGAUGAAGCAUUUCGGUGUGUAAACCCCUGUUGCUCGGGACGAACAACUGGAUUUUCCAGUCUGACGGUACCGGGUGAGGAAGCACCGGCUAACUCCGUGCCAGCAGCCGCGGUAAU
rnacentral:rRNA from 1 species